CCUACGGGUGGCAGCAGUGAGGGAUAUUGGUCAAUGGGCGCGAGCCUGAACCAGCCAAGUAGCGUGAAGGAUGACUGUCCUACGCGUUGUAAACCUCUUUUAUAAAGGAAUAAAGUGAGGCACGUGUGCCUUUUUGUAUGUACUUUAUGAAUAAGGAUCGGCUAACUCCGUGCCAGCAGCCGCGGUAAUACGGAGGAUCCGAGCGUUAUCCGGAUUUAUUGGGUUUAAAGGGAGCGUAGAUGGGUUGUUAAGUCAGUUGUGAAAGUUUGCGGCUCAACCGUAAGAUUGCAAUUGAUACUGGCAGCCUUGAGUGCAGUUGAGGUAGGCGGAAUUCGUGGUGUAGCGGUGAAAUGCUUAGAUAUCACGAAGAACUCCGAUUGCGAAGGCAGCCUACUAAACUGCAACUGACGUUGAUGCUCGAAAGUGUGGGUAUCAAACAGGAUUAGAUACCCGGGUAGUC
rnacentral:rRNA from 1 species